AUGGACGCACCAGCUCCAGAUUGGUCCGGGCUACCAGCGGAUAUAUUGAUCAGCAUAUUCCAAUUGCUGGACUGCCCAGACCUCCUCCGAUCCGCCGCCGUCUGCACAUUAUGGCAAAAGGCAUACUCCACGAUCCGCCGCAACGGUGGCUGCCCCAGCCGCCAGACCCCCUGUUUACUCUACUGUACCGAGGUCGCCGGUGCCAAGGCUCUUGGCAUGUACAGUCUCUCCGAACUGAAGGCCUACACCAUGCCCCUCCCUGAACCUCCCAUCAACUACUGGAUUGGCUCGUCACACGGAUGGCUUGUCACCAUGGAUGAAAAGUCUGAUCUGAUGCUGCUCAACCCUAUCACCGGUGACAAGAUUGCACUCCCUCCCGCGACAACCAUGGAGCAUGUUAAACCUGUCCUAAACAGCGACGGGGUUCUUGAAAAGUGCAAAUGCAUUGUCAUGCUCAUCCAUCAGCCCUACAUGCAGCUCUCGUUUGCCAGAGUGGGAGAUGCUCGCUGGAGUUGGCUCCAAAUGCAUAGUUUCUAUGCAGAUUGCAUACACCAUGAUGGCUCUUUCUAUGCAGUGACUGACCUAGGUGCAGUCGAUGUGUUCAAUCUAGACGGAUCAUCUGUCAUCCAUAGAAGAAUUUUGCCAGAUAUGGCUGAGAUAGUCCAGAAGUGCUACAUUGUCCAGGCACCAUGCGGAGAUGUCUUCCAAAUCUAUAAGGAACGGGACCGGGAUCCUGAACGACCAGAUGGUGAGACGUAUGCCACUGCUUUCGAAGUGUACAAGAUUGAUUUUGUUGAGUUGAGGCGUGUUAAGAUGACAGGUGACUAUGCAUUGUUUACUGGGAGGAGCACAACAUCUUGCUUUAGCGUGAAGGAUCAUCUAGGCUUGAUGUCAAACCAUGUAUAUUUUACUCAUGAUGAUUACGAAGAUUUAUUAGACGGCAAAGAUGACCCCCGUGACAUAGGAGUGUACAACUUGGAAAAUAAUACCAGAACCAAAUUGGCUAAUCCUGAACCCUGGAGUACGUGGUUCCCUCCCAUAUGGUUGAAACCCAAUCUUGCAAAAGCAGGUAUAUUUCAUUUUCAAACAGCACUUUUCCUCAUUUUAAUUUUGUUGUUUUGA
rnacentral:rRNA from 1 species